UCAUCACAGGUCCUUUGCUUCCUCCUGCAGCACAGCCUGGAGCCUGACUCCUGCACAUGGUGGUAGUAAUAGUAACACUGGAUGCUCCAUGGUGAAGGAUUGUCAGAGGAAGAGGAGGACACGCCCCGCCCAGGUUCCUACAAUAUAGGAUCCUCUCAGUGGAUAUCUUCUAUAUGACAUCAAUCUCCUGAUUGACCCUUCAAGGAUGGAUAGGGACAGGGACAAUAUGGCGGAGAGUAUAAUAAAUCUCACCCUAGAGGUCCUCUUCCGGUUUACUGGAGAGGACUACACAGUAGUGAAGAAGACCUCUAGUGAGUGCUGUCAGGACCCUGUGUCUGAA